rnacentral:snoRNA from 1 species
AAGACUAUGCUUCAGGAUUAUUUCUUAUAGUUUAAGAAACUUAGAGAAAUGUGGUUUGUAAAGUUGAUGGUCUCGUGGCCCACGAUGAGAGUUUGUUGAUGCUCUUCUUACAUUGAGAAAGGUGAGGCUUGGUUCAUCCUUGUUCUUUGUUACUGAUAUGGGACUGUUCACUGUUUCUUCAAUUGACAGUAGAGGAGUAUGAUCUGAGUGGU